rnacentral:rRNA from 1 species
CAGAGCUUGCUCUGUGGAUCAGUGGCGAACGGGUGAGUAACACGUGAGCAACCUGCCCCGGACUCUGGGAUAAGCGCUGGAAACGGCGUCUAAUACCGGAUACGAGAUUCCACCGCAUGGUGAGUUUCUGGAAAGAUUUUUUGGUCUGGGAUGGGCUCACGGCCUAUCAGCUUGUUGGUGAGGUAAUGGCUCACCAAGGCGUCGACGGGUAGCCGGCCUGAGAGGGUGACCGGCCACACUGGGACUGAGACACGGCCCAGACUCCUACGGGAGGCAGCAGUGGGGAAUAUUGCACAAUGGGCGGAAGCCUGAUGCAGCAACGCCGCGUGAGGGAUGACGGCCUUCGGGUUGUAAACCUCUUUUAGCAGGGAAGAAGCGAAAGUGACGGUACCUGCAGAAAAAGCGCCGGCUAACUACGUGCCAGCAGCCGCGGUAAUACGUAGGGCGCAAGCGUUAUCCGGAAUUAUUGGGCGUAAAGAGCUCGUAGGCGGUUUGUCGCGUCUGCUGUGAAAUCCCGAGGCUCAACCUCGGGUCUGCAGUGGGUACGGGCAGACUAGAGUGCGGUAGGGGAGAUUGGAAUUCCUGGUGUAGCGGUGGAAUGCGCAGAUAUCAGGAGGAACACCGAUGGCGAAGGCAGAUCUCUGGGCCGUUACUGACGCUGAGGAGCGAAAGGGUGGGGAGCAAACAGGCUUAGAUACCCUGGUAGUCCACCCCGUAAACGUUGGGAACUAGUUGUGGGG